rnacentral:rRNA from 1 species
GGGUUAAGUCCCGUAACGAGCGCAACCCUUGUCCUUAGUUACCAGCACGUUAAGGUGGGCGACUCUAAGGAGACUGCCGGUGGACAAACCGGAAGGAAGGUGGGGAGUGACGUCAAGUCAUCAUGGCCCUUACGGCCUGGGCGUACACACGUGCUACAAUGGCCGGUACAAAGGGCAGCCACUUAGCGAUAAGGAGCCAAUCCCGUAAAGCCGGUCUCAGUCCGGAUUGGAGUCUGCAACUCGACUCCAUGAAGUUGGAAUCGCUAGUAAUCGCAGAUCAGCACGCUGCGGUGAAUACGUUCCCGGGCCUU